rnacentral:rRNA from 1 species
ACUCAAAGGAAUAGACGGGGACUCGCACAAGCGGUGGAUCAUGUGGUUUAAUUCGACGGUAAACGAAGAACCUUACCAGGCUUAGUAUCUAGCUGAAGACAUUAGGAAACUAGUGUCGCCGCAAGGCAGUUAGACAGGUGCUGCAUGGUCGUCGUCAGUUCGUGGUUUGAAUUGUUCCCUUCAGUGGGGUAACGAACGCAACCCUCGUUGUCUGUUAUAAGUGUCAGACGAGACUGCCCCCCAUUUGGGCAUGAGCAAAGGCUCGUGAGUAAAUGGGGGGGAGGAAGGUGAGGAUGACGCCAGAUCAGCAUGGCCUUUGAUGGCCUGGGCUACACACGUGAUACAAUGGCAGAUUACAGUGCGACGCGAAGCCGAGAGGUGGAGCAAAUCGCUAAAAGCUGCCCCAGUUCGGAUUGAAGUCUGCAACUCGACUUCAUGAAGUUGGAAUCGCUAGUAAUCACAGGUCAGCAUACUGUGGUGAAUACGUUCUCGAGUCUUGUACACACCGCCCGU